CUCCAUGCUCUGCAGCUCCAGGAAGGGCUCCCAGGACAAAACUCAGCCUUUGAGAGGCUUCAGCACUGACUUAGCAAUCCUUUUCCAGGGUGGUCACGGCACCGUGACCUUCACGGAUAACAUUCAGUCUCCAGAGCCACAGCCAAAUCUCUGCUUAAAGGAAAGCGGUGCUGGUGCCUCUCCUCCCGUCUCCCAUACAGAGCUGUGUCCACGUGGAUGUGGGGGAAGAGCUGGAGGUAGUAAGGCAGCUCCAAGCAUCCCUGGAUCCUAGUGCUUCCUUGCCAGAGAUGGAAAUACCCUUUUUUAUGCAGCCUUUGAGCAAACUGAGCUUUCCUAUGAGCAGCUCCGGGGGAACACGGCAGGAGGCAGCGCAGGGGACCUGCUGGGCCAGCUCAGAGGCUCCCACUCCAAAACAUCAGCAGCUCUAUCCCACCUGUGGCAGCAGAAUAGCAAGGAGAGGAGACCCAGACUUCAGCUGGGAGAGUUAGGGCAGCACAGAGCCAGCACCAGCACAAAAAUCUGGUAUGGGAGCACCCAAAACAGGAGGCGUGGGGGCCACCCCACGUGUCUCUGAGAUGCUCUGAGAACUCAAUGUAAGCAGGGGCCAUGCUGGAAGGAAGAGGUUUCAACUGGCCCCUGGUGAAUUCCUGACAUGCUAGUCACUCAUUUACUCUCACCUAGGAAUUACUGACCAUUUCUACCAGGAAAGAGGAUGACAACCCACCCUGCCCCAGUGACCUUCAUCCCGGGGCAGGAGGAGAUGGAGCAUUAGCAAUGGGACUGUUGCUUCCCACAAACACAUGUCCCUGCUUUCUCUGCUGUAUGAUAUACAAAGAGUUUGUUAAAAA